rnacentral:rRNA from 1 species
CCGCGAUUCGCCCUUCGGGGUGCACCAGGCGCGAAAACUUUACAAUGCUGGCAACAGCGAUAAGGGGACCCCGAGUGCCAGGAUACAAUCUUGGCUGUCGUGAUGCCUAAAAAGCAUUGCAUAGCAAGGGCCGGGCAAGACCGGUGCCAGCCGCCGCGGUAACACCGGCGGCUCGAGUGGUAACCGCUAUUAUUGGGUCUAAAGGGUCUGUAGCCGGCCGGAUAAGUCUCUUGGGAAAUCCGACAGCUCAACUGUCGGGCUUUCAGGGGAUACUGUUCGGCUCGAGGCCGGGAGAGGUGAGAGGUACUUCAGGGGUAGGGGUGAAAUCUUGUAAUCCUUGAAGGACCACCAGUGGCGAAGGCGUCUCACCAGAACGGUCCUGACGGCAAGGGACGAAAGCUAGGGGCACGAACCGGAUUAGAUACCCGGGUAGUCCUAGCCGUAAACGAUACUCGCUAGGUGUCGGCCACGGUGCGACCGUGGUCGGUGCCGUAGGGAAGCCGUGAAGCGAGCCACCUGGGAAGUACGGCCGCAAGGCUGAAACUUAAAGGAAUUGGCGGGGGAGCAC